AUUGAACGCUGGCGGCAUACCUUACACAUGCAAGUCGAACGGCAGCACGGGAGCAAUCCUGGUGGCGAGUGGCGAACGGGUGAGUAAAGUAUCGGAACGUGCCCAGUCGCGGGGGAUAACGUAGCGAAAGUUACGCUAAUACCGCAUACGCACUAUGGAUGAAAGCGGGGGAUCGCAAGACCUCGCGCGAUUGGAGCGGCCGAUAACAGAUUAGGUAGUUGGUGGGGUAAAGGCUCACCAAGCAGCCGAUCUGUAGCUGGUCUGAGAGGACGACCAGCCACACGGGGACUGAGACAGGGCCCAGACUCCUACGGGAGGCAGCAGUGGGGAAUUUUGAACAAUGGGCGAAAGCCUGAUCCAGCCAUGCCGCGUGCAGGAUGAAGGCCUUCGGGUUGUAAACUGCUUUUGUACGGAACGAAAAGGUUUGGCCUAAUAAGCUGAGCUCAUGACGGUACCGUAAGAAUAAGCACCGGCUAACUACGUGCCAGCAGCCGCCGUAA
rnacentral:rRNA from 1 species